GAUGAAGAACGUAGCGAAAUGCGAUAAGUAAUGUGAAUUGCAGAAUUCCGUGAAUCAUCGAAUCUUUGAACGCACCUUGCGCCCUUUGGCUAUUCCGAAGGGCAUGCCUGUUUGAGUAUCAUGAACACCUCAACUCCUCAUGGCUUGCCAUGAUGAGCUUGGACUUGGGUGGCUUGCUGGCCUGUGGUCAGCUCCCCUCAAAUGAAUCAGCUUGCCAGUGAUUGGUGGCACCACAGGUGUGAUAAACAUCUACGCUUGUGGUUCCCCACCAUGUAACCUUUAGCGAUAGAGGUUCGCUGGAGCUCACAAAUGUAUUUCCUCAGUGAAGACAGCUCUUUGAUUGUUUGAUCUCAAAUCAGGUAGGACUACCCGCUGAACUUAAGCAUAUCAAUAAGCGGAGGA
rnacentral:misc_RNA from 1 species